UAGGAGCUGCUCUCUGGAUGGGGAGAUGGGAGCUAGCAGCUCACAAUGGGGUCACAAGAUGCAUGGUGAAUAUUUGAUGUUUUAGAACAAAAAUGUAUUUACAAAUCUCAUUUGAUGCAGACAUCUGAAAAUACUCAGAAGUUACAAGAAUUCAUAAAAUACCCACCAAAGCUAAUAGAAAACAUGGAACCUUCCAGGACAAGAAGUAAAUUAAAAGAACAACCCAGAGGAGUAAUCAAAGUGAGAAGCCAGUGCCGCCUCCAGGUACUGGAUGAUCACAGGGACCUCAGGCUUUGGGGAUUAUUCAACUACCUUCUUGGAAUAAACAACAAAAAAAGUGAAUAUUGGUUCUUCUUUUAUCUGAAGUGAGGAGCACCAGAGGACUGAUCACGGCAUAGACAUUGACUACAAGACUCUGAACUUGCUGGUUGAUUGGGCCAUAUGCCCACAACAUUGCUGAGGAGAAGGAGAUGAUGAAAUCCACCCAACAGAGGACCACAGAGAAACUUACCAGCAGCAGUAUGGUCUGGAUGGCCCGUUUCUCAGGGGAAGCUCCUGGGGAAGGACCAUUGCUGUGAAGGUGGUGGGAUCACCUCUGAGGCCUGAAUAAGAGAGUCACCAUGUAUGCAAUUAAGAACAGCAGUAUUCCUACCAGGAAAGCAUCCCUAAGUGUUGUCAGAAUAAGAAACGUGGCCCUGAGGAUGAAGCUCAUGGAGAAAACUGAGCAGUACUUACCUAUAUUCAGUACAUUUGUCUGGCUCACACUGGAAGCAGCUACAGUGUAGAAGAUCCUGUUACUACUGAAAGACAAGUUGAGGAACCAUAAGAAGAAGAAAACAUGGAUAAUGUAAUUUGAAGAUUUAUGUUUAAACCUUGCCAAUCAGGAGGUGCUGGGGCUGAUGGUGGUGGCCUGGAACACACUCAGGGGGCAGGUGGUGCAGAUAGAGAGGCCCCACAACACCCUGCUCAGGUGGAAAAGUGCCUUACACUUGAAGUCAUUCUGAAGUUCAAUGAUGCAAACAGAUUUGGAGACUGCAAUAACAGUGCAAUGAAGAAGUUCACUAUGUGGACGAGGGGCAAGGGACAGAUGAUCAAGUCAGUGGGUUUUAGUCUGUGAUACAGAAGGAGAGUGAAGAUGCUGAAGAGGAACAGAAAAGUAUUGACUGAGAUUCCAACAGCAACUUGUAAAACAAAGCAGCUUUUUAAUAACAUACAUGAUAUAUAUGUACAUUGUAGUGGCAAAGAGGAAACAUAUUUGUAUAUCUGAAAAAACAAGUU
rnacentral:lncRNA from 1 species